CCUACGAGGAGCAGCAGUGGGGAAUAUUGGACAAUGGGGGCAACCCUGAUCCAGCCAUGCCGCGUGUGUGAAGAAGGCCCUCGGGUUGUAAAGCACUUUCAGUGAGGAAGAACGCCUGGUGGUUAAUACCCAUCAGGAAAGACAUCACUCACAGAAGAAGCACCGGCUAACUCCGUGCCAGCAGCCGCGGUAAUACGGAGGGUGCGAGCGUUAAUCGGAAUUACUGGGCGUAAAGCGCGCGUAGGUGGCUUGAUAAGCCGGUUGUGAAAGCCCCGGGCUCAACCUGGGAAUGGCAUCCGGAACUGUCAAGCUAGAGUGCAGGAGAGGAAGGUAGAAUUCCCGGUGUAGCGGUGAAAUGCGUAGAGAUCGGGAGGAAUACCAGUGGCGAAGGCGGCCUUCUGGACUGACACUGACACUGAGGUGCGAAAGCGUGGGUAGCAAACAGGAUUAGAUACCCGGGUAGUC
rnacentral:rRNA from 1 species